CAGAUUUACCACCAAUGCUCCUUACAGGACACAUCACUGCACUCUAUACUCCUCUGUAAACUGGUCAUCUCUGUAUACCUGUCGCAAGACCCACUGGUUGAUGCUUAUUUAUAAAACCCUCUUAGGCCUCACGCCCCCCUAUCUGAGAUACCUACUGCCUGUCCUGCCAGUCACUUUCUGUUAAAGGUCCCCAAAGCACACACAUCCCUGGGUCGCUCGUCUUUUCAGUUCACUGCAGUUAUCGACUGGAAUGAGCUGCAACAAAUACUCAAACUGGACAGUGUCAUCUCAAUCUCUUCAUUCAAAGACUCAAUCAUGGACACUCUUACUGACAGUUGUGGCAGCUUUGUGUGAUGUAUUGUAGUAAUAUAAUAAUAAUAAUAAUAAAUAAUAUAUGCCAUUUAGCAGACGCUUUUAUCCAAAGCGACUUACAGUCAUGUGUGCAUACAUUCUACGUAUGGGUGGUCCCGGGAAUCGAACCCACUACCCUGGCGUUACAAGCGCCAUGCUCUACCAACUGUGCUACAGAAGGACCACCUUCUGGACCUUUGUCCUGUUGUCUGUGUCCAAUAAUGUUUGUACCAUGUUUUGUGUUGCUACCAUGUUGUGUUGUUGUCAUGUGUUGCUACCAUGUUGUGUAAAUAAAAGAAUGACUUGUCUAGUUAAAUAAAAGGUUAGAUAAAAAUAAACAAAUACCACAUCAAAUGGAAUGUGAAGGUACAUAAAAUACAGCUACAUACCUUACCUAUGAUUGGUCAAACGGCCUGAUAACCUUAGUGCCUAGGCUACCCUCUGCUGAGUGGAGAAUGGUUCACUAGAAUGGCUGGAACGGAGCAAACCACCUGUUUGAUACCAUUCAAUUCGCUUGACGUAACACAUGUACAUAUUGCCAAAGCUUACUUAUGGAGAUUUACAAUAUUAUUUGAAUUUAUCAAUUUUGUUAACGUGACAACAGUAACCACAGUAACCAAGGGUCAAAAUCACCAUACACUGAACAAUAAGUAUAGAGGACAUGUGCAGGUUGGUCUGUCAGACACUGUCUCUCAUCUUAUGACAGGCAGCAAUGUAGUGCGCUGCCAACCCACAGCUCUCUGCGUCCUCCCCCAACAGGACGGGUAGCCUACUCUCAUCAGAGAGGUCUUCAAUGUAGUGCGCUGCCAACCCACAGCUCUCUGCGUCCUCCCCCAACAGGACGGGUAGCCUAUCCUCAUCAGAGAGGUCUUCAAUGUAGUGCUCUGCCAACCCACAGCUCUCUGCGUCCUCCCCCAACAGGACGGGUAGCCUAUCCUCAUCAGAGAGGUCUUCAAUGUAGUGCUCUGCCAACCCACAGCUCUCUGCGUCCUCCCCCAACAGGACGGGUAGCCUGUCCUCAUCAGAGAGGUCUUCAAUGUAGUGCUCUGCCAACCCACAGCUCUCUGCAUCCUCCCCCAACAGGAUGGGAGCCUGCUCUCAUCAGAGAGGUCUUUGAAACCGUCAAUAAGGGAUUCAAAUUUGGGGAAAAGACAAUUAUUCUAUAUUUUUGACAUUUUGUCAGGAAAUGCAGCUCUGUCUCAGGUUCUGCUGUUGUUCAGUGGUUACACAGCCUUUCCUCUACAGGGAGCCAGGUUCUGCUGUUGUACAGUGGUUACACAGCCUUUCCUCUACAGGGAGACAGGUUCUGCUGUGGUGCAGUGGUUACACAGCCUUUCCUCUACAGGGAGACAGGUUCUGCUGUGGUGCAGUGGUUGCACAGCCUUUCCUCUACAGGGAGCCAGGUUCUGCUGUGGUGCAGUGGUUACACAGCCUUUCCUCUACAGGGAGACAGGUUUUCCUGUGUCUACCCUUCUCAAUGGCAAGGCUGUGCUCACUGAGCCUGUACUUUCAAGAUGUUCUAAGGUUUUGAUCAGUAACCAUGGUCAAAUAGUUAGCCACAGUGUACUGUCGAUUUAGGGACAGAUAGCCCUGCAUUUUGCUUUGUGUUUGUGCUUCCCAAUAAGCAAUGUAGUUUUGAUUUAAUUGUGUUAUAAUUUGGUUUAUUCUGAUUGAUUGGAUGUUCUGAUCAGGAGGCUUUAGUGUGUUAGUAGAACAGGUUAGUGAACUCAGGACCAGCUGGAUGAGGGGACUGAGGCUUCAGUGUGUUAGUAGAACAGGUUAGUGAACUCAGGACCAGCUGGAUGAGGGGACUGAGGCUUCAGUGUGUUAGUAGAACAGGUUAGUGAACUCAGGACCAGCUGGAUGAGGGGACUGAGGCUUUAGUGUGUUAGUAGAACAGGUUAGUGAACUCAGGACCAGCUGGAUGAGGGGACUGAGGCUUCAGUGUGUUAGUAGAACAGGUUAGUGAACUCAGGACCAGCUGGAUGAGGGGACUGAGGCUUCAGUGUGUUAGUAGAACAGGUUAGUGAACUCAGCCCCAGGACCAGCUGGAUGAGGGGACUGAGGCUUCAGUGUGUUAGUAGAACAGGUUAGUGAACUCAGCCCCAGGACCAGCUGGAUGAGGGGACUGAGGCUUCAGUGUGGUAGUAGAACAGGUUAGUGAACUCAGGACCAGCUGGAUGAGGAGACUGAGGCUUCAGUGUGUUAGUAGAACAGGUUAGUGAACUCAGCCCCAGGACCAGCUGGAUGAGGGGACUGAGGCUUCAGUGUGUUAGUAGAACAGGUUAGUGAACUCAGGACCAGCUGGAUGAGGGGACUGAGGCUUCAGUGUGUUAGUAGAACAGGUUAGUGAACUCAGGACCAGCUGGAUGAGGGGACUGAGGCUUCAGUGUGUUAGUAGAACAGGUUAGUGAACUCAGAACCAGCUGGAUGAGGGGACUGAGGCUUCAGUGUGUUAGUAGAACAGGUUAGUGAACUCAGGACCAGCUGGAUGAGGGGACUGAGGCUUCAGUGUGUUAGUAGAACAGGUUAGUGAACUCAGCCUCGGGACCAGCUGGAUGAGGGGACUGAGGCUUCAGUGUGUUAGUAGAACAGGUUAGUGAACUCAGCCUCGGGACUCACUGGAUGAGGGGACUGUAUUUUAGAUGUUAACAAAACUGAAUUGCUCUCUUUUUAGUUAUUAUUAAUGGAUAUUGGCCUAAUUCUGCCCUGCGUACAUUGAUUGUAGUUUUCCUCUGGACAUGUAGGAGAAUCUUACAGAACUCUGCAUGCAGGGUGUUUGUCCCAUUGGGUGAAAUCUUGUUUUGCAAGUGGAUCCCGCACCUCGCUGCCAUAAAGUGCAAUUGGUUCAAUGACAGGCUAUUCGUUUCAGCCACAUUUGAAUAGGUAUUUCGACUUGAAUUUGAAUGGCGUAAGUUUCCCUGCGGUCUGCCUCUCAUUCAACUGAUUCCGUUCCAGCCAUUCCCGCGAGCCCGUCCUCCCCAACUUCCCACCAACCCCCUUACGUGGAUAUGGUGCAUCUGAAACUUCAUUCAGUGUGUAAAUUGUCUCUCCAAUGAGAGAGAGAGACAGACAAGUCCUAUUUUGUUGAAGGCAUGCCUGCUAAGUGUGAU